UCGGGAAUUUUGGGCAAUGGGCGAAAGCCUGACCCAGCAACGCCGCGUGAAGGAUGAAGUAUUUCGGUAUGUAAACUUCGUAAGAAUAGGAAGAAUAAAUGACGGUACUAUUUGUAAGGUCCGGCUAACUACGUGCCAGCAGCCGCGGUAAUACGUAGGGACCAAGCGUUGUUCGGAUUUACUGGGCGUAAAGGGCGCGUAGGCGGUGUGUCAAGUCAGUUGUGAAAUCUCCGAGCUUAACUCGGAACGGUCAACUGAUACUGUCACACUAGAGUACAGAAGGGGCAAUCGGAAUUCUUGGUGUAGCGGUGAAAUGCGUAGAUAUCAAGAGGAACACCUGAGGCGAAGGCGGGUUGCUGGGCUGAUACUGACGCUGAGGCGCGAAAGCUAGGGGAGCAAACGGGAUUAGAUACCCGUGUAGUCCCUGAGCGGGCUGGCAAGGCGCAU
rnacentral:rRNA from 1 species